CUAGAGACAUUUCGUCUCAUCCACGGCCUUUAUUUCCUCUUCUUAUCUCUUUUCUCUCAUUCUCAACCCACCCUGCCAUUACUAAACCUUGCACAAGUGCAAGGUCACUGAAGAUGAUCAAGGCUCAUCAUUUCCCUCACAUGUUAGCCGCAAAUCCUCCAUGGAUUCAUUAGAAUCUUGACCGCAUCAUGAUGGUCGGUGGUCCAGAGGUCAAACGCAAUGACCUCUAGAUAUUGGCUUUGCCCGGCGGUCCGAUUGGUUUCAACGGCUAGUUCACUCAUUGUUUUAGGGAGGUAAAAAUCUUUACCCCUUUUCCCUUCCUGAUUUCGUCACUUCUCAGUCAUCAGUGCUCAUCAUCAUCUCACAGAUUUUCAAAAUUUGAGUGAAAUCCUAAGUCUCAAUUGUAGCUAUAAAUAGAGGGUUUUAAUGCCCUCACCAAACACACGAACUACCAUAGGAAGCCUAGUAAAUGCUCUCUUCUUAAAUACUUAAAAAACUUUCUCUAAUCUCCUUUCUUUAUUUUCAAUUUUUGCUCGAGUGCAACUACUGAGAAUUGAUUGUGAACUUUAGUUCCUAAACGGCUAAGAAUGGUUACUUGGUUUGUUGCCUCGAAGAAUGUCAGUGGACCACUGAUCUCCCUUUAAUUAUUCAUUCAUUUCAUAUAUUAUCAUGUUGUCUCGUUUGUCUGGUGUUUUUUGUUAAUUGCUUGCCUAUGCUUCAUCGUGAUACUCAUCAGCCAAGCAUGAAACUUUCAAUUGUGUUCUGCUGCUUGUGUUAUUUUUCACUUAAUCAACUGAUACUCCCUGCUAAUAGUUAUGUUUAUCCCCUAUGUUGUUUAAAUCAGUAUUUUCUGGUGAUCAUUGAAUUUUGUUUCUCAUACCUAUAUUAUCAUGGUAUAUUGCUUAACUAAUUGAAUGAUUUUCAUGCUUAUAUUAUUGUGUUGUGUUGUCUAAUUGAGUGAUCCUUGUUGACAGUCAUCACCAUGUUAAUCUGCUUAACUAAUUGAAUGCCCCUCACUGAUAGUCAUGCCUAUGUUAUCAUGUUGAUCUGCUUAGUUAAUCAAAUAGGUCCAGUUGACAGUCAUGCUUAUUGUACCCCAUUGUUCUAUUCAGAAUGAUCUAUGUUACAAGACAUGUUUGUUUAUCAUGAUAACUUGAAUAUGACAAACUUGUCUACCUAGCUUGGCAUGUUUAUACUUUAGAGCUUAAUAUGUGACCCGGUUUGCUUGAAUAAACAAAAAAAUGCUGAUUUACAAUUCCAUGUCUACCUAGCUUGACAGUCAUGCUUAUUGUACCCCAUUGUUCUAUUCAGAAUGAUCUAUGUUACAAGACAUGUUUGUUUAUCAUGAUAACUUGAAUAUGACAAACUUGUCUACCUAGCUUGGCAUGUUUAUACUUUAGAGCUUAAUAUGUGACCCGGUUUGCUUGAAUAAACAAAAAAAUGCUGAUUUACAAUUCCAUGUCUAUUUUGCCUUGUUUAAUUGUAACAAGUAUUCUUGUCAUCUUAUGACCAUUUGAUAUUUGAGGACACUGUCCAUAAGAUCUUUAUGUAAUGUGGUUAAGCACUAUUGGUCUUGGUAGUUUGAAUAAGUAUUAUUCAUUCUCAAUGUGCACUAUCAUGUUUAGAUGCCAUGCCUACAUAAUUGACCCUCCUAUUCAUGCUUAAUGUCCCAAUUCUGAGUAAGGUGAUCAGCCUGGGUUGUUAAGCAUGUAGUGAGAUCUACACCUAUGUGUUUGUUUGUUGUUGAAGGAGUGUCCUAAGGAUGUUCUGGGCCUUAAUAACUUACUUUGAUAAUCUAAACUUGCUUCAAAGGAACCCUGUCUGAUUAAAUCCUUAUGAACCAUUAGACCUUUGAUGAGAUUCAGUAAAUAAGUGGGUGCAUUUGUCUUUUGUUCACUGUUGCCUUAAACCACCUGGAGAAGCAUUCAUGAAGUUGAAGUUGUUAUUAGCACAACAAGCUUGCUCUAUAGGGGCAUAUAGUUGAUCACUUGUGCUUUGUAACCCGUUAUUGAUUCUGUAUGUUUACCGCAGUGAUACCUAAGAAUAUUCUGUAGAUGUUGUGCCAUAUGGAAUGGUUCAGAAUCAACCUCUAAGCUCUUGAAACUGUUAAAAACUUUUGAGAACUUAAAUGUGGUAAUUUAUACUUGUAUCAUGUGUUCUGACUUCUGAUAAUAAUCACUGUUUAAAACUCAAGCAUGUGCUACUCCUUGACUAUUUAGGGCAUUAUACUCAAGUGAUUGCUUCAAUUCCUAGAAUGAUUGUCUGUUCUUAAAAUUAUUGGUGCCCCUAUAUGAUUGAGUUUUCUUGAAAUAUGUCACGCCUAGAUGGAUUAAGAUAUCAUAUGGAACCUUAUGUGCUUCUGCUAGUUUGUUUCAUAUUGAUUGCGUGAGACUGCCUGGGCACCUGUUUGGUUGAAUGCUAAGAUAGGAUUUCUUAUGUGCCUAAACCUCUAUAGAAGAAUGAGGUUCAAUGCUUAAGGGUGUUUGGUGUGGGCUUGACUUUACUGUUAAGGAACCCCUCCCUGACACAAGCAUUGCUCGGGGUCCAAGAGACCCUCGUGAAAUCUGGGUCCAUAGGGGAUCCUUAUAAGUGUGGUUCACUCUAAGCCCAUAAUCAUUGGCCUUAAUUAAUCUUCAGGGGAUUAUCAUAAUUAAAAUUUGGCAUAAUCUGUUCACUCUACAUCAUAUUUAUGCUCAUUUUUAUUCUUUUAUGAUUCUGCCUUUAUUUUUUCUAUGCACAAAUGCUAAUUGAUUCUUUCUCUUUUUCUUUGCAUGAAUACUGGACCUGCUGAGUUCAUUGAAAACCCAUACCCAAAUUCAAUGAACUGGGUUGCCUCCUUUGUCAUCCGUUGAAGCCUGCUGCAGUUUUGAGCUUAGUUCGGCCUGACUAAUUGUCAGUCCAGCACAAGAGUCCAGCCACUUUUCCUUAUAUGAAAUUAUUAUUAUUACUAUUGUCCCGUUCUUUGUAUAUGUCCUUGUGGAACUGACAUUGGUAUUGAAUAUUUGUUUUGUCUUGAUUAUUUAGGAAAGACUUUAGGUAGAUCAAACCUAAUAAGGUAAAAGGUAACUUUCACCGAAAAGAUUACUCGCUUUAAUAAUGUCAACAUUUUUUUGGAAUC